UUCCGUAGGUGAACCUGCGGAAGGAUCAUUACAGAGUUCAUGCCCGAAAGGGUAGACCUCCCACCCUUGUGUAUUAUUACUUUGUUGCUUUGGCGAGCUGCCUUCGGGCCUUGUAUGCUCGCCAGAGAAUACCAAAACUCUUUUUAUUAAUGUCGUCUGAGUACUAUAUAAUAGUUAAAACUUUCAACAACGGAUCUCUUGGUUCUGGCAUCGAUGAAGAAUGCGAUAAGUAAUGUGAAUUGCAGAAUUCAGUGAAUCAUCGAAUCUUUGAACGCACAUUGCGCCCCUUGGUAUUCCGGGGGGCAUGCCUGUUCGAGCGUCAUUUCAACCCUCAAGCUUAGCUUGGUAUUGAGUCUAUGUCAGUAAUGGCAGGCUCUAAAAUCAGUGGCGGCGCCGCUGGGUCCUGAACGUAGUAAUAUCUCUCGUUACAGGUUCUCGGUGUGCUUCUGCCAAAACCCAAAUUUUUCUAUGGUUGACCUCGGAUCAGGUAGUCCCGGAUACCCUGCUGAACUUAAGCAUAUCAAUAAGCCGGAGGAAGA
rnacentral:rRNA from 1 species